rnacentral:tRNA from 1 species
GAUGUAGCUCACUGGCAGAGCACUUGCCUAGCAUGCAUGAGGCCCUGGGUUUACUCCCCAGUAUC